AAGGGCCACUGUUUGAAGUGGAGAAAACUGGAGGAAGAAAGAUGCUGGAUGGGAAAAUUAAGUGUUGUGGACAGGUUGGGUUUAAAGUGACUAUUAUCCAAGUGAAGAAGCCAAGUAAGCUAGAGCUCAGGUUGAGAUUUAGGUCUAAGAUAGAAAUUUGAGAAUCAUCAAGAUAGUAGGUAGGAUUUAAAGCCGUAAGAUUAUCUUAGAUCAUCUUGGAGGAGACUGAACAGAGAGAAGAAGUUGUGUAGAAGACAAAAAGUCAGGAAAGAAGACUGAAAAGGAGAGGCCAGUGAGAUAAGAAUAUCCAGCGAGGAGUUCCCGUCGUGGCUCAGCAGAAGCAAAUCUGACUAGCAUCCAUGAGGACACAGGUUCGAUCCCUUACCUCUCAUAGUGGGUUAAGGAUCCAGCGUAGCCGUGAGCGGUGGUGUAGGUCACAGAUGCGGCUUGGACCUGGCACUGCUGUGGCUGUGGCAUAGGCUGGUGGCUACAGCUCUGAUUCUACCCCUAGCCUGGGACCCUCCAUAUACCACAGGUGUGGCCCUAAAAAAAAAAAAAGACAGACACAAGAAUAUCCAACAAAUGUGUUAGAGAAGCCAGUAGAGAAGUGUUUUAUAAAGGAGGGAGUUGUUAAACCGGUUAAAUUAUGCUUAAAGAUCCAAUAAGUGGAAGACAGAGGAAACCCUUUGCUUUGACAAGGUGGAGGUUAUUGAAAAGAACAACUUAAAUGGAGUAAGAAGAGAACCAGCCUGGAGUGGAUUGGAGGGUUCUAUGCAGAACUUGCACUUCCAGCAGUUGGAAGAUUAGAUACUUUCAAUGACCCUUCCAGUGGAAGCAGUCAAAAUCCUGGAUUAUAUAUAAAAAUCAUCUUUGUAAUGGUAUUGCCGAAUUGGCAAGAUCUUACAAACAAAGGUCAAAAACAAAGUGAAAGCAAGAAACAUUGCCAAUAAAGCAGCAUCAACACCAGCGUCUCCUCUAGGAAUUUUUUUGCAGAACUCUGGACACAGCGCUCUAUCUGGGAGGCAGGAGAUUAAGCCUAAUGUCAACAUCGGUUGGAGGAUGUAAUCAAUCUCUGCACAAAGCUGAGACUUCAAUAGGUUAUACCUGCCAUGUAAAGGAGGAGGAAGAAAAGAAAGUCACAUAGAACACGUCAUCAAACAAAUCUGAAUCUAAAUUUAGCACUGGUUGGCAAGAGUAUGUGGAGUUCUCCCUAAGGAUGUGUGAUGGCCCUCAUGCACAUUUUUGAUCCAAAUAUACAUCUGUGUGUGAUCUGACCAUUAAGCCGAGAAUAUAACUCAAAGGAUCCUGGAUUGCUUGUGACUUCAAGCAAUUGUCAGAAAUAAAUGCACAUCUUCUUUGGAGGAAAAUAAUUCAAAUUCAGGUGCCAAGGAAUUUCCACAGAGAAUUUUUCAAGAGAAAGGAGCAGUUCAUAAACACAGCCAGCAAAACACAAAGACAUCACAAGUGAGAGCCAAUUCUCCAAAGACUUAAGACACUAGAGUCAAUACAAAAGAUAAAAUAACAAUUUAACAUGUUUAAGGAAUUAAAGAAGGAAUUAGGUGUAUAACACGAUACCAUGAAAUAUGACUAGGCAGCUUUGAAAAAAGAGACCUAGUUGACUUUCUCCACAUGAAUGAUUUAAUAACUGAAAUUAGAAACAACAGAUUAAACAACUGAACUAUGUGUAGUGAUUUUCAAAUGUCCAGAAUUAUUUGAUAUUCUUCCCUUAAGUAUAGGUCAAGCUUUGUGAUUUGCUUCUAACAAACAGAAUAAGGCAGAAGUGAGAGUGUGUGAUUGGGGGUGGGGAGUGGGUUAUAAAAGACACUGUGCCUUUCUGGUGCUUCUUUUUCUCUCAGAUCCCAGACCGAGGAAGCCAGCUGCUUCCUCCUGAGUGAGGCAUCUUGGAAACAGAUCUGCAGCCCUGGUCAUGCCCUCAUUUGACUACACCUCUGUGGGCAGCUGGAGGCCACUUUAUGAGAAAUACUGAGCCCAAACCACCCAACUAAGUCACUCCUAGAUUCCUGACCCUCAGAACCUGUUACUUACACAUCUUAUAGGAAAACUGAUGAACACCAGAGGGGAAAAUAUCUUAAAGUGGCCAGAGAGGAGACAGAUCAAUUUGAAAGGAAUGGCGACUACACCGAAAGCCGAUUUCUUUAUAGCAAUAAUGGAAGUCGGAAGACAAGAAUAUAUCUUAAUUUACUGAGAGCAAAUAACUGUAAGUCAAGAAUUAUUUAUUUAUGUGUGUAUGUAUGUAUGUAUGUAUGUAUUUUGGCUUUUUAGGCCCUUCACCCUCAGCAUAUGGAAGUUCCCAGGCUAGGGGUCGAAUCAGAGCUGAAGCCUCCAGCCUACACCACAGCCAUGGCAGUGCAAGAUUUGAGCUGUGUCUUCAACUUACACUACAGCUCACGGCAACGCUGGAUCCUUAACCCACUAAGUAAGGCCAGGGAUUGAACCUGGAUACUAGUUGGUUUCAUUACCCGCUGAGCCAUGAUGGGAAUUUCCAAGAAUUAUAAACCAGGAGUUCCCUUGUGUUGCAUCAGGUUAAGGAUCUGGCGUUUUCACUACAGUUACUCAUAUUGCUGCUGUGGCACAGUUUAGAUCCCUGACCCGGGAAUUUCCACAUGCUGCAAGUGCAGCCAAAAAAAAAAAAAAAAAAAAAAAAAA
rnacentral:lncRNA from 1 species